rnacentral:lncRNA from 1 species
GUGUCAUUUCCCUCUUAAAAGGAGUGAUCCUCUGUUUUUCUGUACUGUUUUGCCAUGUAUUGUAGAGGCAGUAUAAACAGAGUUACAUGUCCUGGAGGAACCUAGUUAUUAUGCUAAAAGAGAGCCAUGUCCCUCUAGGUCAUGUGCCCUAAAGAAGAUUCUAGUCUUUCCUAAUAUAUUUGUUAUCAUAUUCAUUCUUAGGGCCACUAAAUUCCUGUUGUGUUACCACAAACAUUAAAUCUAUUAUGGUUUAAGAGACUUUGAAUUGCGGAUUGUCAUGCUGUGUCUCCUUCUUCCUGGGUUCUGAGCACCAGAAUCCCCUCCAUGCAGUGGGAAAAACAAAACAAAACAUUUCUUGGCUCUCUCCCCUGGUGGAAGCAAAGUUCCUAAUCUGAAGUCUAGACUAGGAGAGGUAUGAACUGGCAGGGUUCUUCUCUGAACUGGCAGGAUUUGGAAACCCAGAGAAUGGGACCUUGCUCCUGAGUGAAGCUCACCAUAGAUAGACAGCAUGGGAUUUGGGUCCUAACCGGUGCACUAAGGAUUGAAAAUUCCUGAAAACCUCAUUCAUGUGCUCUAUUGAAACAAUUGAGGUUU